rnacentral:rRNA from 1 species
UUCCGGUUGAUCCCGCCGGAGGUUACUGCUAUCGAGGUUCGACUAAGCCAUGCGAGUCGAAUGUAGCAAUACAUGGCGAACUGCUCAGUAACACGUGGACAACCUGCCCUUAGGACGGGGAUAAACCCGGGAAACUGGGUAUAAUACCCGAUAGGUCUCGAUUGCUGGAAUGCAUCGAGAUUUAAAGCUCCGGCGCCUAAGGAUGGGUCUGCGGCCUAUCAGGUAGUAGUGGGUGUAGCGUACCUACUAGCCUACGACGGGUACGGGUUGUGAGAGCAAGAGCCCGGAGAUGGAUUCUGAGACACGAAUCCAGGCCCUACGGGGUGCAGCAGGCGCGAAAACUUUACAAUGCUGGCAACAGCGAUAAGGGAACCUCGAGUGCCAGGUUACAAAUCUGGCUGUCGAGAUGCCUAAAAGGCAUUUCAUAGCAAGGGCCGGGCAAGACCGGUGCCAGCCGCCGCGGUAACACCGGCGGCUCGAGUGGUAACCGUUAUUAUUGGGUCUAAAGGGUCUGUAGCCGGCCGGAUAAGUCUCUUGAGAAAUCUGGCAGCUUAACUGUCAGGCUUUCAGGAGAUACUGUCUGGCUCGAGGCCGGGAGAGGUGAGAGGUACUUCAGGGGUAGGGGUGAAAUCUUGUAAUCCUUGAAGGACCACCAGUGGCGAAGGCGUCUCACCAGAACGGACCUGACGGCAAGGGACGAAAGCUAGGGGCACGAACCGGAUUAGAUACCCGGGUAGUCCUAGCCGUAAACGAUACUCGCUAGGUGUCGGCCACGGUGCGACCGUUGUCGGUGCCGUAGGGAAGCCGUGAAGCGAGCCACCUGGGAAGUACGGCCGCAAGGCUGAAACUUAAAGGAAUUGGCGGGGGAGCACCACAACGG